rnacentral:rRNA from 1 species
AACGAACGCUGGCGGCAUGCCUAACACAUGCAAGUCGAGCGAGACCUUCGGGUCUAGUGGCGCACGGGUGCGUAACGCGUGGGAACCUGCCCUUAGGUUCGGAAUAACUCCCCGAAAGGGGUGCUAAUACCGGAUAAUGUCUUCGGACCAAAGAUUUAUCGCCUUUGGAUGGGCCCGCGUUGGAUUAGCUAGUUGGUAGGGUAAAAGCCUACCAAGGCGACGAUCCAUAGCUGGUCUGAGAGGAUGAUCAGCCACACUGGGACUGAGACACGGCCCAGACUCCUACGGGAGGCAGCAGUGGGGAAUAUUGGACAAUGGGCGAAAGCCUGAUCCAGCAAUGCCGCGUGAGUGAUGAAGGCCUUAGGGUUGUAAAGCUCUUUUAACCGGGAUGAUAAUGACAGUACCGGGAGAAUAAGCGCCGGCUAACUCCGUG